UCCACCAAAACUCAUGUUGAAAUUUGAUCCCCUAUGUGGUGAUGUUGGGCUGUGGGACCUAGUGGGAAGUGUUUGGGUUUUGGGGGUGGAUCCCUCAUGAAAUGGCUUUGCAUUCUCACUCUGGCAACACAGGAAUGGAUUAGUUCCCAUAAGAGUGGGUUGUUAUAAAGCCCAGAUGCUCUUCAGGUUUUCUCUCUUUGUACCUGUUCUCUUCUCUUUUGACCUUGUCUGCCAUGUUAUGACACCCUCACCAGAAGCCAGGGUGGCCAUGUCCUUGAACUUCCAAGCCUGCAGAACCAUGAGCUAAAUAAACCUCUUUUCUUUCUAAAUUACCCAAUCUCAGGUGUUUAGAGAAUGGUUUACCCUUAGAGAAUGGUUCUGGUGAACUUCUGGAUUUAAAAUCUCCUUACUAAUUAAGUACUGUUUUAACUGGGGGCAGAAUGUGUGCCUUAAAAGAACGUAGGGACCUAAUGGCUGUUUUCCUGCUGAUGGGACAGUAUCAGAACUAAAAUUUGGCUUUGGAGGACAUUUUACUCCUAAUUGUUGAAGGCAGUGUUUUCGCAUUCACAGAAGGGGCAUAAAGCCUGGUCUCUAGUAUAGGGGUGCAAAAAGGGAGGAGAAUUGGGAGGCUAGAGUGUUACAGCAAUGGACCAACGCUGUGCCUCAUGGAGAGGAUUCCUAUUCCACUAGGUGGCGACGUUGACCUAGAAAUACCGUGCGCUUCCCAGAGGAAGGGUAGAGGGAGAAAUGCUUAUUGAGAAGGGCUCUUUGCUCCUAGAAAAUGACAGAAAACAGCAUUCCCUUGUGCUAUAUUCUCAGUUACUAUGGCAUUCGCUAAUCUUUCCUAACAGGACUAUUUUCCUGAACUGUAAAAAUUCUCAAACACUGCAUACACAGAGAGGAUAGGAGACAUGGCCUUUGCGGAUAGGAAAUGAGGAAAUUUUGCGAUAGGACAGCUGUAGAUCCUGUUGCGGACACCCAGCCGGGCAGUUGGAGGUGGGGUCAGUCCAGAAGCCUUCAGAUAACACCAGGGUGUAGUCCUGGCGAGAAAUCUUCAGUUGCUUCAGGACCUUUUCUAGCCCCACGCGACGGCUAGGUCCUCCGUGAGAGAAAACUGGUUCGAGAAGCAUGGCCAACAUUCCCAAUGAUCCGCAGAUGUGGUUUCCACCUGGCCGGUGCCAUGACACCCACACACAUGGCGACAAGGAGAAGGGAGAAGAAAACCUAUUUGUUGUAUAUACCUGGCUUUUGGCACAGCUGCCGGGAUUCACCUGUGCAAGUUUCCAGCUUGCUUAUCUAUGCUUGCAGCUUGAUUUUUCAGGCUACUUUCUGUUAGAAAAGAAAUGAUUUGGGGGCUGCUUUCUAUUAAAAGAAAAACCUUACCAAGG
rnacentral:lncRNA from 1 species